GGGAAAACCUGGAAAAGGGGUAACAUUUAAAAUGUAAAUAAAAUAUCCAAUAAAAGAAUAAAGAAAACCCACCAUACAGCAGCAUGGUAGUGCUGGUCUCCAAUAAUCUUGAAUUCUGGUUUCCUAUUUAUUGAAAGUUGAGAAUCCAAACCUGUCAGUCCCCCCAUAUUGCUCUUAGGUCUAAUCCAGUAUGGUUUUGAUUCAUUGGGUUUUUUUUUAUUGGAUAAUUUUUUUAUUUACAUUUCAAAUGUUAUUCCCUUUCCCCGGUUUGGGUUUUACUUGUAACACUUCCUCUCUCUCUGCCUUUCAGCUUCCAAGCAAUCACUUAGCAGUGCAUAGCAAUCUAUUCCCAAAACUGUUGGCCCAAACAGGAUCCACACCCAUUUGCCUGAGUCUAUGGUGAUUAGUAUAGGUUUGCAAGGACACUCCAAAUGUGUCUUAUGGGACAGCACCGCAAGUGGGGACUUCACUGCACUCUUUAAUAACAUGGAGGAUCUGUGUCCACAUGGCAGUGUCCCUUAAAAGAGACAACACAAGGGCUGUAAUGCAGUUCAACCCAGUAUUGCCCCUCUGGUGGGAGUAACCAGCUGUUGCCAUAGUACGCUUGGGGAGAGUUGCUAGGGAAGAUGGACGUCAAGCUAGGAUACUGCAGUUACUCCAAUGUAAGUACUUGUAUCCUCCAUGAGUCCAAGGAAAGGGAG
ensembl:lncRNA